GGAAGCUUGGAGUAAGAGAUCAGAUGAGUUCAUGGCCCAAGGCAGAAUGGCUGCAGAUGGUUGGUAAGGAAAGACUUUGAUAGCUGAGAUGUUCGUGACUUAAAAGCAAAACAAAACUCCUGGCUAAUUGGGAACCAAGACAGUGCCUAAAAAGGAAACAACAGGCCUUGGUUAACCGCCAGAGCUCCCAAACCUGGUCCCAUCUGCUGGGAAGUGGUGACCAGCAAUGAUAUCUAAGAACGCUAAGGGUCCUGCUGCUCACCAUCCACUAUCACCACUGACCUCCCCAGCUGCAAGUCCUGGAGACACAGCAUCUGGCCCAGCUUUGAUGAAAGUGUGGCUUUGGGGGAGUGGGAGAUGUGAGGGCUGUAUGAGCUUAAACCAGCUUUCCAGCUCUUCUUUUCUGCCUCUCGUAUGUCAAACCCAGUGUGGUACAGUAGACAGAGCCUGUGAGGGCAGCAGACUAUAUUCAAGCCCCAGCUUUGACUUUCAAUCUUUACUUUCUUUUGGUCUCUGUUCCUUCGUCUGUAAAACUAGAUGAUUGUACUUGUUUCCCAGACUUGUUGUGACAACUUAAUGAAGGUCUGUUUGCAAGACAUCUAGGAGAAAUGCGUGUCAUACAAUAGAUGCUCAGUUAAGGUUUUCAGCUCCUUUACUGUAGAACCCAACUUGGGUUUCCUCCACACAGCCUCCUUCUCUGCUGUCAGUCAGUACACACUGAAUGUGGUGAUGUGAGUUUCACUUCUGCUCCUGCCCCUUGCUCAGGCAUCACCCCCCAUCCCCAGAUGCCCUCGCCUUUUCCUUUAGGGAUCUUUCCUUCCUUUCAUGAGCUAGAGCCACUUCUGAGAAUUCUUCAGUGAAGGCUCUGACUUGGAUAGAGUGGCACUAAAUGCUAUUUCAAGCACUUGUUUCCACAGUGAACUCCUGGCACAACACUGUAUUGACAGUUUCUUAUCAUGCACAGAAUAAUUCUAAUGCAUACACUCCAGGCCCCCAAAGUUCCUGUCCUCACUGAUACACUCAUGUACACAAAGUCGUACAUUUCUAAACAAGAGAGAUUAAAAACUCAGCAGGAAAGUAAAAGAAGGUUUGGGGACUGUUUUCUUCUUUAUUUUUUAAUUGCUUAGAUGAAAAAAGAUCCCAUGGGGGGAGACUCUUCUUUUAAAAAAUCCAGGUUAAUGAAAUUCUUAACCAAUUUUAAGGAAAAUCUUAAAAAAUUCAUACAAAUAUCUGAUUUACUGUAUCUCCCUUCAUCUCCGGUAAAUUAUAUGGGCAGUCCCAAUCUCAUUUUCUCCUAGUAAAGACUUCUCUCAAGAUAGGAAAGUCAGAAACCCAUUCAAAUUAAGGCAUAAAAAGCUGAUAGUGAAAGUUUUUCCUAGAGGAAGUUGCUGUUUGAUCAAGAAAGUAGACUCAUGCUGAAGAAAGUUGUGCUGUGGAGUUUGGACGUCAGCAAAGUGAGAUUUGGGAGGGCAGCCUUCCCAUUACCCCUCCCUGGAGAGUAGGAAAUAUUCUUCCAUUUAGGAUUUGCUUCUUGGCUUGCAAUAAAUAUCUCUUUCUGGGUUUUAGUCAGGGAUUUAGGGAAAGAAUGAGGAAGAUGGGAAUGGUCCAGGCUGCAGGAGGUUUUGUCUCAUAACAUGCUACAAAACAGCUUUCCUCCUCAAUAGAAACAAGUAUGCAGAGCUCACCAGUAGACCUCUCAGUAUCCACGCUCACCAGUUCUUGACCUCCGGGGGUGGAGACACAUCAUCAGCCCCCUUGCAGCUAGCUAGGGUCAUGUGACUUAGCUCUGGCCAAUAAGAAGUGUCAUGUGCCAGUGUCACGUUCCACCUGUACCCUUGUCAAGGCUUCUUCAUCCUGUUGCUGAAACACGGCACUCACUGUGUUGACCCUGGGAUGUGGGUCAUCCAUGGUGAAGCAGUGCAGUAGAGAGAGCCUGGUUCCCUGGAUGCCUGGCCCCCUGAGAUCAUAGCUGCCCUGAAUCAUCUGCCUACAGUUUUAAAAUAGACGGAAAGAAGCUUCUCUCCAAGCUAUUUGGGGGUGUGUGUGUGGGGGGGGUUGUUCCUCGCUCUUAAAGCUGAAUGCAAGCCUGCCAACAAGCCUACAACAGAUAAGUGUAAUGUCUCAGCUUAACUAAAGCUCACUAACUAAUCCUAUUGAUUGCCCGUCGUGUUUAUUUGUACUUAAGUUCAGCUCAUGCUUGGUGGGCUAGCCUGGUUAAAUAAUCAUCAUGUUUAUCGCUUUUCUCUAGUUAAGUGCCAGAGUGCCCCUAACAUUGCCUAACAUGAUGUUGUAACAUAAAAUUUAUUUCUAAGAGAGCCUUGCACACAGACCCAUGUAAGCACACACACGUGUGUGUUAUAACAUAUACAUACUUUCAUUGAGAUAGCAGCUGUAUAGGUGGAAAGCCUUCUUUCCAGCAUGCCACAUCUGGGUAAACUCCAAGAGCCAAUUGCCUUUUUCACUUUGUCAGAGAGUAGAAAAUGACUCAUUGUAUCCAAAGCAGGCUUAAGUGCCCCUGAUUUAUUUACCUAUCUGCAUUCAAUUAGAAAAGUGCCCUUAUUUUCUAUUUAUUUAUAGACGUCAUUUUGGUUAUGCCGGUGCUUUACUGUAUGUUGUUCACUUCCCCCGAACAGAGAGGCAUGUUUACAAAGCCCUUACCCAUAAUUAGUGUCACUCAGUGGAACAAGGCACCUCUGUUUUGUACCUGCCACAGCUGUCAUGCUGUCUUCAGAACGAAUUGCACUGAUGGACGACUUGAGUCACCAGUUUCUUCAGAAAGUAGCAUAAAAAGUGUUAUUGCUGUGAGUCUGGUGCUCAGGGAAGCCGUAUCAGGUGUUAUACUCUGUGACAGCCUAAGCUCAGAGAGAGCUUCCUCUGUUACAUUUCCAGUUAAUUAUUCUUGUACUUUUCAAUAGCUCCAUGUCAUAAAAACAAGGCGUGCAGUCAAUUCGGAUUAGCUUUAUCCUGUCAGGUGAUGGCAGACCUCAGACGACACGUUAAUCAGUGGAGUUGGCUUGGGUGUUCUACGCUUGUGACUACUGUCAGCCAUGUUUAAGUUGUGGGGGUAGGAGGCGGGGAAAGCAUUUUUUAUGGGUAUACAUUUCAUUAGGAUUCUAAUAAAAGUGCCGUGUCUGAGAAAAAUAUAACAUGCUCCACGGCUGUGUUUAAUUUUUCUUUAGGACACUUUUCUAUUAACAUAAAUUGCUUGAAGGAAAAGCAUGUUGUAAGUAAUAUUUUUCUCCAAACAUGAAGCCUUAUUAAAACUUCAAGAUAUUUUUUUUAAAUCAUCAUGAUUCUCUCUUCUUUUGCUUUUGGUUCUUCAGAUUCAAUCACAGGCCAAAUGGACUUCAUUCCAAUGCCAUGCCAAGUGUGGGCAGCAAGAAAUGGAGACAUGGCUGAUGGAAUUCACCAGGCCUCCUCCGGGCUGUCCAAGUAGGUACUGCAUUGCACACGCACAUUUUGUCCCCAAGGAAGCAGAAGCUUUACAGAGCUGCCUUCCAACCUGCUAGUGUAAUAAGCACAAUAUAGAAACUUCCUUCUCUUGCUUGAAGAGUUCAAGAUGUGUAUACACAAUCAAAAUGAAACAGAGAAGUGAAAAUCUCUUGUACUGGAUUAAUACAUGCCACUUUACUAGGAAUGCUUUUUCCUGUGGGUAACAGAAGAGGUCAGCAGCACUGGCGUAAAUCAAGGCACAUUUAUGUCUUGCUGAAUGAUGUAGCUCGGUCCCAUUGAAGAAUUUGGAUGUCAUCAGGGACCUAGGCCCUUUCCAUCCUUCUGCUCUAUGUACGCAUUCAUCCUUAGUCAUGGCUUUUCAGGGUCAAAAGAUGGCUCCAGGCAAGAAGUUAAACUCUUCCAGAAGCCCACAGUCUAACUGGAUCACAGGAAGGUAUCUAGAAAGCAGAUAAUUAGAUUUUUCAGUCUGAAGUGGGAUGUGCACAGAGGAGAAAGGAAUUGGGAAUGGCUGAUGAGUCAACCAGCAAAAGCCACUGAAAGACCCCAGGUCAUGCAGGGGGCCAGUCGGGGAGCGGGGCGGAGGGCACUUGAAUUAGCCAGAUAGUGGCCUUCCUCCUCCACUUAAUAAACUUAGAAGCACGGCCUUAGUACUGCAGGAAUCCACUCUCCACCUUGCAGUCAGAGAGAUCUUGCUAAAGUUUUAUUCUGAUCAAGACCCUCUUCUGCUACAAAUUCUUAAACACUUACCACUGAUCUCAGGGUACAGUUCAGAUGCCUUAAUGUGCUUAACACUAUCUUUAAUGGUUCACUUCUUACUUCUAGAGCCUUAUCUCUCAACACUACCACCCUUUGAGUUUGACACAAGUUAUUCUGACCUACUUCGAGUUUUCCAGUUGUACCCCAAUCUCCCAUUUUUGUAUGCUGCUCCCUCUGCCUGAAACAUUUUAUCCUGCAGACAUGCACACAUACACACUAUUCCACCUGGCUAAUUUUUCUUUUUUUAAAAGAUACGAUUAACAUAAAACAUUGUAUUAGUUUCCAGUAUAUAACAUAAUGAUUCAGUGUGUGUAUGUAUUGUGAAAUGAUCAGUGAAUCUAGUUAACAUUCAUCACCCCACACAGUUAAAAUUUUUUUUAAUCUGAUGAGAACAUUUAAGAUCUAUUCCAUUAGCAACUUUUAUGUAUACAAUACAGUAUUAUUAACCAUAGUCACCAUGCUAUAGGUUACAUCCCCAGGACUUAUUCUUGUGGCUGAUCCUGCAGAUCUCAGUAGAAAUAAUUGUAACUCAUUCUUUCUGGGAAGCUACCCUCACUCCAAUGGCAAGUUCAUUGCCCCUCCCAUAGACUCUCCUAGAAUCCCAUACUACUCUAUCAGCAUGUGGGAUCUAGGACUGGACUCUGGGGAGAAAAAGAAGCACUUCUAAGGGAAAGAAUGUGGAUGAGAAAAAUGAAAAACAGUUUUUAUCUAUUUCUUUCACUUAAACUGACCCCAAGUCCCCAUUCAGAGUUGGGAAGGUAUUUACCAUGGCCAAGCAGUUUAGUGCAGUGGGUAAGAACAUGUGCUGAAAGUCAAACUGCCUUAGUUCAGACCCCUGCUUCAUCCCUUAUUAGUGGAGAGAUGCUGGGUACAUUGCUUAACCUUUCUCAGGUUCAGUUUCCUUAUCUGUCAGAUGGGGUAAUGGUAGGGUUUACCUAAAGUAGAUGUGAUUGGCUGUCUACUCAACAUCUCUUACCCCCACCAUGAGCAUCUUCUGCAAAAAGCACAGGUGGCCCUAAAGAAAAUGAGAUGCAAGGAAAAGUGAGUCCCCUUUGCUUCCUCUGGGGCUAGACAUAAAGAACACAAACGCUGAGAUAUCGUGGCGGUUACCUUAUGACCCCGAAGAGAGUCAACUCAAGGACAAAGUCACAUACUGGAAACAGAGCAAAAAGACAAAAAGAAUCCAGGUUCUUAAUGGUAUCAAAUGAUGAAUUGACCAAUCUUAAAGCUGCCCUACCUUUCGACCUUUUAUUCCUAGGGAUAAUUCAUUUCUUUAUCACUUAAGAAGUCAUUUCUAGUUGGCAUUUUUCAUACUUACAACGGAAAGAAGUCUUAGGUAAUAUGCUCCCUCUAAAGACUGUGAGAAUAAAAAGAACUAAUGCAUAUAAAGAGCUCAGUGCAGGACCUGGCGCAGAGAAGGCCCUUGAAACAUGAUGUCAGUCAUCGUCAUCAACCAAUGGCUCUUCUGGGUCAGUGAAGAGAGAUUGUUCCCAGUGCAGCUCACGCCAGGGCAGAGAGUUCUGGAGGAUACAUUCCUCGAAGGAAGGAACCUUGUCUGUGUAAAAGUCACUAAUUCCUAUCAUUAUCCAGGCCAAUGCCAAAGACUCUAUGAAGAAUAAUUAGAAUAAUUUCUGAUUACAAUGUGGCAGUCUCAUCAGCUCUAUGACUAUCAAAUGAUACCAGAAUAUUAAGCUUCAAAUCAUGUCUCUUUGUUUUUUAAAAAAGAUUUUUAAAGAAAAUCUUGGAAAACACUUGGAAACUGGCAAUUAUAACUAGUUGCAUGUGGUUGCCAUGAAUGGCCCAGUUUUCUAAACUGUUUGAUUUAUUUGGGGGGAAUGUUAAUUUACAUUUGUCCCUUUCACUCAUCACUAUCCCUUUAUUACCAAACUUUAUUACUGUGGACUAUAAAUUCCUACACAGCAUAUGGACCACAUAACUUUCUUGGAUACCUAAUUAACAAGGAUUUUCUUCUAAACUGUAAUUAUAACAAAAUAUGGUACAUUUAGCUUAAUUUUCAAUUUAAUGCUUGAAGGUGCAUAGGAAAUUUAGCUCCGUGGCUCAGAGAUGGGGAAAGCUGCCAUGUAUACACUCAAUCCUUAAGAGUGGGUCUGGGAAACAGAUGUUCGUAGGAGCAAAAGAGAGAUGAGGAUAAUGAAAAAGUGUAUAUGAAAUGAUAUCAAUGAUUAAAGGCCAGGAUGUAGUUCAUGCUCAUUAAUAGAUGAGGAGAAAGGAAUAGGAAAGGGAAAUCUCAAAGUUAUCAAAGAACAUAAAAGACACUCCAUUCUUGGCAGAGGCAGCCUGUCUUCUUCCUGGCUCCUUCACAAACAUCUUUCUUCCUCCUUCAUGCAGCCCAGUGAUGUGGACCUGAAGCCACUCAGGUCCACAUCACUGGGUGUGUGUCUCGAAUGGGAACUAAUUCCUCUGAGUAGGAAAGACCACGGAGAACACUGGGAAACCUAACAUUAGGAACUAUGCGGUCCUAAGAUUGUUUUUCUAGGGCAUAUGUUUCAUGAAAAUAUUUAGGAGAUGAAAGCUAUUCCAUAAAAUCAUAUGUUACCCCCCCCAAAAAAAAUCUCAAAUGCUUUUUUGCAGUCAUAGUUUCUAUUCCCACUUCACCCUGCCACCCCAGCCACUUAGCACAGUUAGCUCUUAAUUUGCCUGAGCAGAGAUAUAUAUAAUCUACCUCUGGAUGCAUUGAUGAGUGUCUUUGGAAUGCAUUUUACUCCUAUCAUCAUAUAAAGGUGUCUGAUGGGAGUUCAGGAAGAGUUCAAAAUUCAUGGUACCUAUUGGGACUCUUUAUGUCAUAUUUGUGUCUAUAUGUCAUAACUGACACAAAGUCCAGUUCAAAUUGACUCAAGCCAAAAAAGGGAAUGUACUGGCUCACAUGAUUGGAAAGGCCAGAGAUAAAGCUAACUUCAGGUAAGGCUUUGAUCUAGAGGCUCAAAACAGUAUCAGUGGCCAACAGGCAC
rnacentral:lncRNA from 1 species